UUCGAAGGAUAUGAGCAUAUGCGGGAACCAUUUUACACAACUGAAUUACAUAAAAGAGUAAUUGUUUUUCUGUACAAACAGGGCAGGACACGUCUGGAUUUCAGAUCAUUAGGAAAAUAAAGUCUCAAAAACAAGGGUCCAACUAUCUUUGACAGAAUCUACAACAGAAAAACAAAACCCUGGGCACCAGAAAACUUUACUGAUUGCCUAAGGCCAAA